AAUAUCCUUCGGGGUUGGGUGAAAUUCCCUACCGGCGGUGAUGAUGCAGCUAUCGAGCCAUACAACGGCAGAUUGUUGUGUCUUAGUCCGUGACCCGGAUAUGAGUCAUGUAUUCAUAGACGGUGGACCUGGUGCAAAUCCGGGACCGACAGUAUAGUCUGGAUGGGAGAAGGAGUGA
rnacentral:ncRNA from 2 species